GUGAAUCAUCGAAUCUUUGAACGCACCUUGCGCUCCUUGGUAUUCCGAGGAGCAUGCCUGUUUGAGUGUCAGUAAAUUCUCAAACUCUUCAGCUGUUGUUGUUGAGUUUGGAUAUGGAGGUAUUGCUGGCCUGUGUUGGUCAGCUCCUCUGAAAUACAUUAGCGGAACCGUUUGCGAUCCGUCACAGGUGUGAUAAUUAUCUACGCCAGUGGGUUGCUCUCUGUGUUGUUCAGCUGCCAACUGUCUGUAAAAAGACAAUUAUUACUGAAUAUUUGACCUCAAAUCAGGUAGGACUACCCGCUGAACUUAAGCAUAUCAAUAAGCGGAGGA
rnacentral:misc_RNA from 1 species